CUUUGCGAAAAGCAAAAAAAACAACCCAGACAUACGAAGAAGAACAAAAAAAAAAUGGAAAGCUUGUCCUUUCCCCUUUUUUUUUUUUUCCUUUU
rnacentral:ribozyme from 21 species